GUGGAUUAGAUACCCUGGUAGUCCUGGCAGUAAACGGUGUGCGCUUGGUGUGAGGGGAUUCGACCCCCCUUGUGCCGGAGCUAACGCGUUAAGCGCACCGCCUGGGAAGUACGGCCGCAAGGCUAAAACUCAAAGAAAUUGACGGGGACCCGCACAAGCGGUGGAGUAUGUGGCUUAAUUCGAUGCAACGCGAAGAACCUUACCAAGGCUUGACAUGCAUCUCUAAGCGCGUGAAAGCGCGUGACUCUUCGGAGGAUUUGCACAGGUGCUGCAUGGUUGUCGCCAGCU
rnacentral:rRNA from 1 species